GUACUAGAUUUGGCAGCACAUAUAUAAAAUUGGAACAAUACAGAGAUUAGCAUCCUACACAAGGAUGACAAGAAAAUUUGUGAAUCCAAAUUUUAU
ensembl:snRNA LOC120102601 U6 spliceosomal RNA